GAUUUUGGGCGCCGACCAGACGCGGCAUUUUCGGAAAAUAGCGCCCUGUGCAGCUCCAGCGCUUUGUGUGUAGCGAGGUAGCGGCAGUCUGGCCAGGUACGAGGCGCCCUUGGGUCCCCUCGCUCCACCACCUGCUGCUCCCUGGUCGCCGCUCCCGAAGCUUUUCCAGAUGUCCCUGGUAGAUUUGGGAAAGGAGCUUUUAGAAGCAGCAAGAGCAGGUCAAGAUGAUAAAGUUCGUAUUUUGAUGGCAAAUGGAGCUCCUUUUACCACAGACUGGCUGGGAACAUCUUCACUUCAUCUGGCAGCACAGUAUGGGCAUUAUUCCACCACAGAAGUUCUCCUCCGUGCCGGUGUGAGUAGGGAUGCCAGAACCAAAGUAGACCAAACUCCGUUGCAUAUGGCGGCCUCUGAAGGCCACGCCAGCAUAGUAGAGGUGUUGCUUAAGCAUGGUGCUGAUGUCAAUGCAAAGGACAUGUUAAAGAUGACAGUUCUCCACUGGGCCACGGAACAGAAUCAUCAAGAGGUGGUGUAGCUUUUAAUCAAAUAUGGUGCUGACGUACACCAUAUUGUAAAAUUGCGUUUGACAUAUCUAUAGACAGUGGGAAUGAAGAUUUAGCGGAGAUAUUACAGAUCGCUAUGCAGAAUCAAAUCAGCACCAACCCAGAGAGUUGCGACACUGUGACGAUCCAUGCUGCAACGCCGCAGUUUAUCAUUGGACCUGGAGGGGUGGUGAACCCAACAGAUGAAACGGGUGUGUCUGCUGUUCAGUUUGGAAAUUCCUCUACAUCAGUAUUAGCUACAUUAGCUGCCUUAGCUGAAGCAUCUACUCCCUUGGCCAAUUCUUCAGAAACUCCAGUAGUGGCCACAGAGGAAGUAGUUACUGCAGAAUCUGUGGAUGGUGCAAUUCAGCAAGUAGUUAGUUCGGGGGGGGGGGGGGGUCAGCAAGUCAUCACAAUAGUUACAGACGGAAUUCAGCUCGGGAAUUUGCACUCCAUUCCUACUAGCAGAAUAGGUCAGCCCAUCAUUGUGACCAUGCCUGAUGGACAACAAGUAUUAACAGUACCAGCAACAGACAUUGCCAGAGAAACUGUUAUAAGCGAAGAACCACCAACUAAAAGACAAUGUAUCGAAAUAAUUGAAAACUGGGUGGAAUCUGCAGAAAUAGAAGAGACAGAAGCUCUUCAGAAACAGCUAGAUGAAGCAAAUCGAGAAGCACAAAAAUACCGACAGCAACUUCUAAAGAAAGAACAGGAAGCAGAGGCCUACAGACAGAAAUUAGAAGCCAUGACUCGUCUUCAGACUAAUAAAGAAGCUGUUUAAUUGAAUAUGUAGUUUGAUUUUAAUUUUGGUCAAGGAAGAAUACAAUCUUUAACUGUACGCAUUAAAAGUACAGUCAUGAAAAUACAGAU